GUGUAUUUGUAGAGCCAGGGAAGUGUAGGGAUACGUAAUUUCCUUAAGGCCAUAUCACUUAAGUUGACUUUGCCCAAUGGAGAUGUUCUCUAAGGACCAGAGCCUCUGAGAGCUAACUCUGAUGGGAGUUAGACACCUAACUGCCUUUGAGGAUGUGGGCCUAAUAGUGAAGAAUGAACUUCAGUUAAAAAUGGAAGCCUUCCCCAGCCCUACCAUAAUGGAUGAGGACAGCAAGUCUAGUGGAUUGAGCAAGGGAAAAUCAGUAAUGACUCCACUGAAAUGAAUGGAGAUCCACUGGUGCUGCAGUGAAGGUGAGCAGCUGAGGUUGGGACAUUGGAAUAUAAGAGGCCAAGAGAAGACCUGGAUCUGAAAAAGCAGCCCAUGACAUGAAAAGGUUUGAGAACAACCACUGCUGGCCUUUCUUGUGCAGACAUUACCCAGAAAUCCCUGCUGACUUAAAGGGAUGCAAAAGAAUGGCUGAAUAAAAAAUGCUACUGUAUUUAAAUCAUUAACAUUAAAAAUGGUAUUUAUCUAUAUAUGGUAAAUACUU